GAUGAACGCUGGCGGCGUGCCUAAUACAUGCAAGUCGAGCGAACAGAUGAGGAGCUUGCUCCUCUGACGUUAGCGGCGGACGGGUGAGUAACACGUGGAUAACCUACCUAUAAGACUGGGAUAACUUCGGGAAACCGGAGCUAAUACCGGAUAAUAUAUUGAACCGCAUGGUUCAAUAGUGAAAGACGGUGUUGAUGUGACAUAUAGAUGGAUCCGCGCCGCAUUAGCUAGUUGGUAAGGUAACGGCUUACCAAGGCAACGAUGCGUAGCCGACCUGAGAGGGUGAUCGGCCACACUGGAACUGAGACACGGUCCAGACUCCUACGAGAGGCAGCAGUAGGGAAUCUUCCGCAAUGGGCGAAAGCUUGACGGAGCAACGCCGCGUGAGUGAUGAAGGUCUUCGGAUCGUAAAACUCUGUUAUUAGGGAAGAACAAAUGUGUAAGUAACUAUGCACGUCUUGACGGUACCUAAUCAGAAAGCCACGGCUAACUACGUG
rnacentral:rRNA from 1 species